rnacentral:rRNA from 1 species
AUACGUAGGGUGCGAGCGUUGUCCGGAAUUACUGGGCGUAAAGAGCUCGUAGGCGGUUUGUCGCGUCGUCCGUGAAAACUCGGAGCUUAACUCCGAGCUUGCGGGCGAUACGGGCAGACUUGAGUACUACAGGGGAGACUGGAAUUCCUGGUGUAGCGGUGAAAUGCGCAGAUAUCAGGAGGAACACCGGUGGCGAAGGCGGGUCUCUGGGUAGUAACUGACGCUGAGGAGCGAAAGCAUGGGUAGCGAACAGGAUUAGAUACCCUGGUAGUCCAUGCCGUAAACGGUGGGCGCUUGGUGUGGGGUCCUUCCACGGAUUCCGUGCCGUAGCUAACGCAUUAAGCGCCCCGCCUGGGGAGUACGGCCGCAAGGCUAAAACUCAAAUGAAUUGACGGGG